rnacentral:rRNA from 1 species
CCUACGGGAGGCAGCAGUAGGGAAUCUUCCGCAAUGGACGAAAGUCUGACGGAGCAACGCCGCGUGAACGAUGAAGGCCUUCGGGUCGUAAAGUUCUGUUGUUAGGGAAGAACAAGUGCUAGUUAAAUAAGCUGGCACCUUGACGGUACCUAACCAGAAAGCCACGGCUAACUACGUGCCAGCAGCCGCGGUAAUACGUAGGUGGCAAGCGUUGUCCGGAAUUAUUGGGCGUAAAGCGCGCGCAGGCGGUUUCUUAAGUCUGAUGUGAAAGCCCCCGGNUCAACCGGGGAGGGUCAUUGGAAACUGGGAAACUUGAGUGCAGAAGAGGAAAGUGGAAUUCCAAGUGUAGCGGUGAAAUGCGUAGAGAUUUGGAGGAACACCAGUGGCGAAGGCGACUUUCUGGUCUGUAACUGACGCUGAGGCGCGAAAGCGUGGGGAGCAAACAGGAUUAGAUACCCUGGUAGUCCACGCUGUAAACGAUGAGUGCUAAGUGUUAGAGGGUUUCCGCCCUUUAGUGCUGAAGUUAACGCAUUAAGCACUCCGCCUGGGGAUACGGUCGCAAGACUGAAACUCAAAAGGAUUGACGG